UUCCCGAAUAACUUCACACUUGCACGGUAUAUCCUUUCAUGCUUUCCCUUGGCGACCAAGGUUCUCAUGGCCACUUACCUUGCUCCAGACCCAACUUUUUCCUCUGGGAUCUCCUCUAACAAUAUUCAAACAUCAGCUCUUCUACAGUCACCAAAUCCUGCCUGUGUUAAAAACAGUCGUCAACAUCCGAAACUGUUUUCAGGUUGUCCUGAUUGAAUAAUACUUCGUGAUGUGUGGACAGACUGUGUUUAAUUCUGCGUCUAGCGUUUGGCAGAAAACUCACCCUAGGUGCUGUGCUGAGGUGUAAACCUAGAAGAGAGACCAGUUUGGAGGCUUCCAUAUAAUCCAGCUGCCACAGCCUGAGGACACCCAGACGGCUAAUGGAGAAGUUUGUAUGGUGGGACUCUCAGAAAUGAGUGGAACUUGGAGGUGGAUUUUCUUGACCCUGCCAGUGGCUACGUGAGCCAUCUUGGAAGCAGAUUCUCCAGCCCCAGCCAACGACUUGACUGUACCUAAGGCAGAAGCACCCAUUAAGCUGCAUUCAGAUUCCUGACCCAUGAAAACUCUGAGAUAAUCCAUGUUUAUGGUUCAAAGCUGCUAAGUUUUGGGGUAUAUUGCUAUGCAACCACAGAUAACUACUAUACCCAACUUGUACCAAGUCUGCGUUUUUCUAAGUACAGGAAUACUCACACUUAAUUCAACUUCUGUAUUUCAAAAGUAGGUUGGGUAUAUAAAUUUUAUCUAUUUAUUUUUUAUGACGACCCUAGCACUCAUACUUCACAUAUACAGCGAGAACAGCAACAACAAAAACACAGAGACAAACACAAAACAAAGAAGAGGAAUACAAAGAAAUCUAAUCAGAGGAUGACUUUAUAUACUUUUUAUUUUUAUUUUCAUUUUUAUUUUUUUUUAGGUUUUUCUCCGGU